GACGAACGCUGGCGGCGUGCUUAACACAUGCAAGUCGAGCGGUAAGGCCCUUUCGGGGGUACACGAGCGGCGAACGGGUGAGGAAUACAUGGGUAACCUACCCUCGAGUGGGGAAUAACUAGCCGAAAGGUUAGCUAAUACCGCGUACGCUCCUUGGACUUCGGUUCAGGGAGGAAAGCGAUACCGUGGGUAUCGCGCUCUUGGUUGGGCUCAUGUCCUAUCAGCUUGUUGGUGAGGUAACGGCUCACCAAGGCUUCGACGGGUAGCUGGUCUGAGAGGACGAUCAGCCACACUGGCACUGCGACACGGGCCAGACUCCUACGGGAGGCAGCAGUAAGG
rnacentral:rRNA from 1 species